AGUACACAAAGGUCUGGAUAGGAUGUGGCCAUAUCAGAGAUCUGCCCCAGGAAGACUGCUCUGGCAUCGAUGCCAAGAUAGAGUCAGUGGACCAGGGGAAGCAGAGACCAGCUCAGAGCAGGAUUCCCAGUGAAGGAAAGGACGAAGAGGCAAACGGGAGUCUGUGAGGGGGUGGUGAUAUUUGUGCUGGAAGAGGUGUCUGAGUUGCUUAUCUGGGAAUCACUGUAGAGAAUUGUCAGGCCAAGUUUUGAAUUAAGCAUAAGGAGAAAUAAUUUAUGUAGCUAUAAAAGCCCAGAGUGGGUGACUGAGUUGGUGGCUUACAUGGUCUCUAAAUUGAGUAAUGCUAUGUCAGAGACAGGAAGGCAAAGGCAUCUCAGCCGUGGGAUUCAUCUGCAAUGUCUUCUUCAAGGCGUAAAUAUGUUUUUAUUAGCUUUAUGCAUAUAACCAUAAGGAAUUAGAACAUCAGAGAGAAGAAGACCCUCAUAAAAUUGGGAUCUUUUUUAGCACAGGUGCCAGGAUGUCAGGUAUCAGGUCACUUUCAGAUGAUUCACCACAGCGUCCCUUUCCUUGCUGCUGGUGGUCACUCUACACAAGGCCAGUGGGCAGGCUGAAACCACCAAGGUCAGCAACCCAGGACAGGGAAAGGCAGAAGCCUUUCUUUCCACUCUCUUUCCCAGGGUAUUGGGAGAGCUAAACCAUCCAGGCAUUGGUCUUUCCACUGCAGAAAAUUUUUCUUCCCCAGCCAAGGACCUUAACUAUUAGCCCAAUGGGUGACUCUUGAAUCUGGGACCACUAGGUCCCUCACUGCAUGGAGAUUAGUUAUCAAAGGCACUGCUACGCUGAGCAGUCUGUUGCAGAGCUGACUUCGGUUUGAUGUUAGGUCGUUUUGACUUUAUCCUUAGAAACAGCUGCUGAGAGUGUCUGCCAGUGUUCUACAAUGUGCCGAAGAAGCCAGCCAGCAUCUUUUUACCCUGCCUGUACCUCCAAAUCACUGGGGAACCUAUGCCUCACCCGAGGCCGAUUGACCCAGAACGGCUUUGGCUAAGACACAGGUGUUAAUAGUCUUUAAAGCACUCUUUGUGAAAUCUAAUUUGCAUUCAGAGCUAAGAAACACUGUGCUAGAUUUUUUUAAAGAUGCACACAGCUAUAUGCCAUGAUUCUUCUUCCGGUUGAAGGAGACAGAACUUGUGAACAUAAGAAUUAUCAGCCACAGGAGGUAGCAGAUGCCAAAUGCUGAGCGCUAUCACUAAAUGCCAAUCAUGAGGAGACACGAACUAAUAUGAGGUGAUGCAGGAAGUCUUCCCAGAGGAGGUGAGACUUGUGACAGGAAGGGAAGCAGGGUUAGGACUUAAACAAAUGGAGGGGGCAUCUUUGAUGUCAGAAUCCCAAGAGCAAAUGCACCAAGGCUGUGCAUGUAAGGUGAAGUGAGGAACUGACCCUCAAGCCCACCUCUGCUGGGGGAAACAAGGUGGUUCAGUGUCGUGAGUGCUUUUUCCAUGCUGAGGAGACUGGGGAGAUGAGACGGUCUCAUUGAUCUGCUAGGGAUGUGUUCCUGGCUCCAGUUCCAGCUCGUAGUCCACCUCGGAAGGACUGUGGGCUUAGAUCACACCCUCCCCUCCCUCCUCAUGGAUAGGCGAGGGCAGAGAUGAGACAGAGAAGGAGGAGAGCUGAGGGGUCACCAGCAAUGUCCCUGGACGGGGCCCUCAGAAAGGCGUGGCAGCCCAGGCUCGCUCAGGGAGAGCAGUGAGCGAUCGUGGCCCCACAGGCUUGGAACUAAUUCAUCCGUGAGCCCUUCCUGUUUCCUUUAGCUGGCCGAUCUUAAACUAGACCGCCACGAAAUGGAGCCCUGAGACCCACUCUCGGUUUUCGGAUUUGGUGAGUCUGGGGCAGCGUGGGGAUGUGGACACCCAACAAUCUCCCACGUGACAGUGAUGCUGCGGCUGCGACCUGGCUCUGAGAGGUGCUGGGUGCAUUUCAUCCUGCGCGCUGAGUUCGUAUUGAGGAAAGAUCUUUUUGAAAGUUUCCAUCUUAGCUGUGCUGAAGGAAAAUGAAGACAGGGGUGUCUGCUCACACCUGGAUGAUCCAGAGAGAGAAAGCUGAUCCCACAGUCCUGAGGGCUGGUGCAGUGGCAGCAGAGGGAUAAACAGCAGGCGACUCUGUGGGUACAGAGAUAUGGGCUACGCGCUGGCAUCAUCACAGCCUGGGGUAUGCGGAGCUUUGCUUCAAUGAUGGAAACAGUUUCCUUCCCAUUGUCAGGGAUUCCAGGGAGUUUGUUGUUGUGGCCAGACAUGGGGUCCUGAUUAGAGAGGAGAGGGAUACAAGAAGGACAGACUGAGGCAAAAUUUCUAGAUAGCUUUAGACUAGAAACUUAGGGGCUUAGAUUUGAAUAAAUGUUCUAACGUUUGACGGCAGUGUGGUUUUAAUCCUGUCAUUUAUUCUCCCUGAGCCUUGUGUCUAAUCUUUGAAAUGGAGAUGACAACGAUGACAAUGAUGAUGAUGAUGACAAUGACAGCAAAUAGUCGUAGCCAGCACAAACAAGAGCAUGAAGCCUGCACACCCUGCAACAGGCCUGCGUCUCCUCCCAAAGCAAUGCCCCAAGCACAUCCUCGGACAUUCCCUGUCCUGGGUGGCCGGAGGGCAAGCGAAUGAGCUGUCCUCGUGAUCCUGGAUCCCUCCCUAGGGUACUUGGGGUGCCGCAUGAGGCGGUCAGGGUGGUUGGUGUCAGGAGAAGAAUGUUGAGGAACUGGUGAGGGCAUGAAGGAGGAGGACAGUGGAGGAGAGAGGGCAUCCUGGAGAAAGUCACCUUGGAGCUGAGAUGGGAGCAAAUGAUGGCUUGCAAGGCAGUCAAGAGAGAAGGGCACUCUGCGUGGAGACAGUGUCAUAUAUGACUGCAUCAAUAUUAAAAGACCAGGAGGGCACGAUCAGUGAGUGUCACAGCGUGUGUGCUUGCUGCUGUAAAGGAAGGGCUCUGGGUGAGUCAGGUGAGGGCCUUGCGUGCCCUGCCAGGCAGUCGUGGGUGCCGAGCAAGUAUCGGCUGUUGUCCUUUAUCUAAGCAGGUGCACCCUGACCAUGCUAGCCUGACAGCCCCACCCCACUGCAGGAUGCUUUUGCCUAUUUCAGCUCCAAUCUGGUCUGCGGCAGUGACCAUUGUGUCCUCUGGCUGGUGCUGGAAGGUCAGGACUGAUCUUUUCUAGUCUGGAUGGCUGGGCCUCUCUUCUGCUGGGGUCAAGUCCCCACCUCUGAGUGUAGUGAACCAAACAUGGGUUAGUCUUCUGCAGGCCAAGGACCAUACUGGGCACAGCAAGGAAGAAGAGGAUGUCCAG
rnacentral:lncRNA from 10 species